UGGGGAAUAUUGGACAAUGGGCGCAAGCCUGAUCCAGCCAUGCCGCGUGUGUGAAGAAGGCCUUUUGGUUGUAAAGCACUUUAAGCGAGGAGGAGGCUACUUGGAUUAAUACUCUAGGAUAGUGGACGUUACUCGCAGAAUAAGCACCGGCUAACUCUGUGCCAGCAGCCGCGGUAAUACGGAGGGUGCGAGCGUUAAUCGGAUUUACUGGGCGUAAAGCGUGCGUAGGCGGCUUUUUAAGUCGGAUGUGAAAUCCCUGAGCUUAACUUAGGAAUUGCAUUCGAUACUGGGAAGCUAGAGUAUGGGAGAGGAUGGUAGAAUUCCAGGUGUAGCGGUGAAAUGCGUAGAGAUAUGGAGGAAGACCGAUGGCGAAGGCAGCCAUCUGGCCUAAUACUGACGCUGAGGUACGAAAGCAUGGGGAGCAAACAGG
rnacentral:rRNA from 1 species